rnacentral:rRNA from 1 species
GGAGCCGUAGCGAAAGCGAGUUUUAACUGAGCGUUCAGUUACUUGACGUAGACCCGAAACCGGGCGACCUACCCAUGAGCAGGAUGAAGCGAAAGGAAAAUUUCGUGGAGGUCCGAACCCACGAGCGUUGAAAAGCUCGGGGAUGACUUGUGGGUAGCGGUGAAAUUCCAAUCGAGCCCGGAGAUAGCUGGUUCUCCCCGAAAUAGCUUUAGGGCUAGCCUCA